GAUGAACGCUGGCGGCGUGCCUAAUACAUGCAAGUCGAGCGAACAGACGAGGAGCUUGCUCCUCUGACGUUAGCGGCGGACGGGUGAGUAACACGUGGAUAACCUACCUAUAAGACUGGGAUAACUUCGGGAGACCGGCGCUAAUACCGGAUAAUAUAUUGAACCGCAUGGUUCAAUAGUGAAAGUCGGUUUUGCUGUCACUUAUAGAUGGAUCCGCGCCGCAUUAGCUAGUUGGUAAGGUAACGGCUUACCAAGGCAACGAUGCGUAGCCGACCUGAGAGGGUGAUCGGCCACACUGGAACUGAGACACGGUCCAGACUCCUACGGGAGGCAGCAGUAGGGAAUCUUCCGCAAUGGGCGAAAGCCUGACGGAGCAACGCCGCGUGAGUGAUGAAGGUCUUCGGAUCGUAAAACUCUGUUAUUAGGGAAGAACAAAUGUGUAAGUAACUAUGCACGUCUUGACGGUACCUAAUCAGAAAGCCACGGCUAACUACGUG
rnacentral:rRNA from 1 species